rnacentral:rRNA from 1 species
GAUGAACGCUGGCGGCGUGCCUAAUACAUGCAAGUCGAGCGAAAGGACGAGACGCUUGCGUCUCUGACGUUAGCGGCGGGCGGGUGAGUAACACGUGUAUAACCUACCUAUCAGACUGGGAUAACUUCGGGACACCGGAUCUUAUACGGGAUAAUCUUUUGCACCGUAGUGUGCAAAGGUGAGAGACGGUCUUUCGGUCUGUAAUAGCGGGUUACGGGCUGCAUUAGCUAGUUGGUACGGUAACGGGUUACGACGGCUACGAGGCAUAAACGAACGGAGGGAGUGAUAGGCGACACUGGAACUGAGCCACGGUCCAGACUCCUACGGGAGGCAGCAGUAGGGAAUCGGACGCAAUGGGCGAAAGCCUGACGGAGCAACGCCGCGUGAGUGAUGAAGGUCUUCGGAUCGUAAAGCUCGGUUAUUAGGGAAGAACAUAUGUGUAAGGAACUGUGCACAUCGUGACGGUAACUAAUCAGAAAGCCACGGCUAACUACGUG